CGCUCCGCAGCAUGUGGGAUCUUCCCGGACCGGGGCACGAACCCACGUCCCCUGCAUCGGCAGGCGGACUCUCAACCACUGCGCCACCAGGGAAGCCCUACGGGACUGCAUUCUGAAUGGAACAUUGCAGCUUUUCAAUUUUUCUAAGCGAUUUAGACUAUAGUUAGAAAAUGUGCAGCCUUUUGGGCAAAGUCACUGGGAAUAAGGUCUACUCACUAUGGACUGGUGGUAACUUGGCCGUAUUUUUAAUAUUUAUUUUCAUGGAGGAUCAAAUGUUUUCUAACUCUGGGCUAGGAAGCCAUAUGCCCUGGCUCUACCCCAGUUCUGAGACCUUGCAUAGGACACCUCCUCUCUCUGGGCCCAAUUCUUCAUCUGGAGGAGGUUCCUGCCAGUGUUGACAUUCCAUUGUGGUAUAAAAAUGGGGUCCUCUGGUUUAUUUUCACCAGGGGCAGUGCCUCUCUGUAGGAGAAGAAAAGCCCAAGAUCAGCUGUCUUGAGUGACUUACCAGUUCUAUAAAAAAUCAAGUCCAGUCAGCUGUUGGACUGGACUUGGGCACACGGUGAAUUGAGGCCAAUUUGAAUGCGAGGGCUUCAGUGUACUUCCAAGCAUUCAUGACUGUUUUCUUACCCCUAACUUGAGGAAAAAGAUACUUUUAUGCCAAAGUCUAGAAAGAGGCCUGUAGCCAUCAGCGUGAAGCCCGAGUUGUCGGGCCCCUCUAUCUCCCUCAGGGCCAGGACUGCCUGCUUUCUGGCGGGCAGCCCUGCAGGGUUCUGCCGCCAGCCCCACCUGGACAGACACUGAGAAAGCCUAAGGUCUGGGGCCAAGAAGGUGUCUCAUCGUCCCCAACACAUCCUGCAAGUAGAACAUGGAUCCUCAGCCGGGUGGAGACAUCGAUCAGCACGUGCAGCCGUAGACGCCAGCUGAGCAGCACACACAAGGAAUGUAAAGCUGACCCUGAUCUCUGAUCACUGGACAGGAGUGCUGUGACAAGUACACUGUAAGAGUGGGGUAACAUGUUACAUGUUUUGUGAGUAUCACGAUCCCUGUUUCCAAACUGAAGGACACUGAGCUGAAUCUUGGCUGCUCUGAGCAGUUGUGAGAUGGGUCCUGGGCCUCCAGCUGGGCUCUCGAGCACAGUAUAAUCAGCACUGGCGGCCACUUAACUGCAUUUGUAGCUUGUGUAGCAUUCACAAAAGCAAAGCUUUCUCUUUGGCAGACAGGCUGGAGAAAUUCCCCGAGGUGUGUCUGUGCUGUGUUUCCAGGCCGGAGAGCCUGCCAGUGCUCAUGUGGGACCCUCUUCCCAAGAGAGAUCCUAUCAGUUUAGAAUCAGAAUGCCCAAGAGAGGCAGGCUGUUUUCAUGACCUUCCUCUCUGCUCUCCCGUUUUUCAUAAAACCAUUGGGCAAAUCCAAACCACUGCUCUCUUCCCUUCACAUCUGCCCUCAGAUCUUGCCUCUGAAGGGAAAGCACUAUGGAGGAAAGGAGCGGCAGAAUUCUGAGAAGCUUUAAGUAACAAAUGUAAAAUCCAGUCACCCGUGGACACUGCCCUGCUUAUGUACCGCAGCCAGUCACGCCCGCAAUCACACUUCCUGGGUAAUUCUUCACCCACCCCACAAAGCCUUCUCUUUGCAGACCAAAAGCUGGAAGGAAGGUUGCUUUCAGAGUUUGUCUUUACAACUGCACAUGUGUUACCUUCCUUCCAAAGGGAACUUUACAAACCAGUGCGAAUAUCUGGCAACAAAAACCACUGUCCUUGCUUUUGGUUCCUACUUUAAGCACAGAGUGGCUCUGCAGCCAGGCUGCCUGGGUUCAGAUCUUCAGCUUUGCCACUAACUAGUUAUAUGACCUUGACCAAGUCCCUUCACCUCCAAGUUCCAGUUCCCACAUUAGUGAAAUGGAGACAACACGGCACAGAAUUAGCGGUUCAAGUGGAACAAGAUUACAUGUGAAAACAAUCACAAGACCUGGCGCCUAGCGAGCGCCCUGCAAGUGGGAUUCUUCCCCCCACGGACCCUUCCCAGCGGGCUGCGGCAGAACACUGCAAGAUGGGAAAACACGCCACCUUGGCAGUGGCACUGUGGUUUCCCAAACAGGGAAGAAGUCUAAGGACCAAACGCAUUCCCGUGCUGAGCGGAAAUAGGGGCAGGGGCUGUGGCUCAGUAAAUGGUUCCCCAGGGGCCCCUUGUCCCGUGGGACGUAGGCCAGGCCCACAGCUUCCUUGGGCAAUGGGUAAAAACAUUUUCCUAGCAUUAAAAUGGUUUCCAUGA